rnacentral:rRNA from 1 species
UACGUAGGGGGCUAGCGUUGUCCGGAUUUAUUGGGCGUAAAGAGCGUGUAGGCGGCCAGGUAGGUCUGGUGUGAAAACUCGGGGCUCAACCUCGAGACGUCGGCGGAAACCAUCUGGCUAGAGUCCGGAAGAGGAGAGUGGAAUUCCUGGUGUAGCGGUGAAAUGCGCAGAUAUCAGGAAGAACACCCGUGGCGAAGGCGGCUCUCUGGGACGGUACUGACGCUGAGACGCGAAAGCGUGGGGAGCGAACAGG